rnacentral:sRNA from 2 species
GAUAGUCAACGGCCUAAGUCCUGCGCCAUUCGCAGGACGCGGGGGACCCAAGCUCUUGGGGCGCAUUGGCGUUUCGACGCCAUAGGACAUUCCGAGUCCGAGCCCGUCAGCUAACCCCGCCGGCGUGACGCGGAAGGCGCG